GUUCACUGCCGGGCAGGCAGCUUAGAAA
rfam:Microbacterium sp. STBG005 Ion018_assembly_c1831, whole genome shotgun sequence.